AAAAACAAACAAAGGGAUUGAACUUCAACAACUUUCCUAUAAUGUUCUUUUCAUAAUCUUCAUGUUUGAUAAUUCCCUUGACUUAUAUGCGUGUUUUAAACAACACGGAAAAUCAGAAUUAAGCAGUAUUUAUAUUUAGUAUUUUUAUAAAUUUAGAAACACGUCAGAGGGAAUUCCCAGUUUUGAUAAAAUGCGAGAGUUCUCUGAAUUCCGAUAAAUCUAUUUCCGUCAUUUAAGAACUGAAGUGGAGUUUUUCUUAUAUGUUACCGUUAUG
rnacentral:lncRNA from 1 species